CCUACGGGAGGCAGCAGUGGGGAAUUUUGCGCAAUGGGGGAAACCCUGACGCAGCAACGCCGCGUGGAGGAUGAAGUCCCUUGGGACGUAAACUCCUUUCGACCGGGACGCGGUACCGGAAGAAGAAGCCCCGGCUAACUUCGUGCCAGCAGCCGCGGUAAUACGAGGGGGGCGAGCGUUGUUCGGAAUUAUUGGGCGUAAAGGGUGCGUAGGCGGUUCGGUAAGUUUUGUGUGAAAUCUUCGGGCUUAACUCGAAGCCUGCACGAAAUACUGCCGGGCUUGAGUGUGGGAGAGGUGAGUGGAAUUUCCGGUGUAGCGGUGAAAUGCGUAGAUAUCGGAAGGAACACCUGUGGCGAAAGCGGCUCACUGGACCACACUGACGCUGAUGCACGAAAGCUAGGGGAGCAAACAGGAUUAGAUACCCUUGUAGUC
rnacentral:rRNA from 1 species